GGCGGAUGUGGGACGCGGCCGGGCUGGCUAGGGAGGGUCCCUGCAGAACGGGAGGCCAGCAGAAGGCUCGCGGCGGGCGGGGCUGAGGUGGCUAACAAGGUCCUCGAACAGCCUCGCCUGUUGGUCUGGGCGUGUGGGCGUGUUCUCCACCCCUUACAGGGAGUGUGGGACCCGCGGGCCAGUCUCGCCCUUGUUCCGGGCCGGAUCUCGAGUGGGCGCUCAGCCCGGCGGUGGAGAGACAGUUUACUUUGUUCAGCAAAUAUUUAAUCGAUGCCGACUUUUAAUUGGAGAUUGUCUCGGCUGGCAGGAGCCUCUAGACUGCCUGUGUCCUGUUUCUUCCCCUGAAAAUAAGAAACCCCAGUUUCAGACAGUUAAGAGAGGUCUAAGGUCAAAAUAAUCAUAAUUUCUUGAGUGCUUCCUACUGGCCAGACAGUGUGCUAAGCACUUUUAAAGGCAUUAUCUCAUCGGUUAAAACAUAGUUUUCCCGACUUAAAGUUUACAGCACACUGGGGCGGAAGCGGGGGAUAGUAAACCGCUUCUCUACUCCCUUUCUCCGUUUAUUGACUCACACUCUGUUCUUUGGAUCACUUCCUUCGGAAAAAGUUCCUCGUAGUGUGUCUUGACUUUUUUAAAAGUUGUAUGUUAAAAGUAGUUAAACACGCUGACAGAUACUGAAGAAUGAAGAAAAUUGUAAGAAUGUGAAGUCUGCCUUUAGAAUGCGGCAGGAAACCUAAACAAAACUUAAAUGCUUUGUUUUGAUCACAUUAUCACAGUCGUUGGUCUUCAGAGGUCAAUUGUGAACGGCUUUGGCUUGUGUUUGCAGCUUUUCUUCAGUUGCCGCCUCCACCCUUAGUUUAAUAACAAUGAUCCAGUCCUGUUACACCUGAGUGUGGACUCAUGCCAUGACUGACUUGCUUCUACCCUUUAGCUUUUCUAGUGCCAUAUUCUCCGCCUGCCAUAUCUGAUUCUUUUCUUAAAUCCCAUACUCUCUCAUUCAGGAAACCUCUUCCCAACAAUUCCACAAAGAUCUAAUUAUUCUGCAUAUUCUAGCACUACGUGAUCAAUAGUUCUCAAUAGGUGUUUGCACUUUUUUUUAAAUUGCUUUUUUCUCUAAGAAUUAUUUUUCGUUUGUUUUUGUCUGUUUACUUGAUUUAAGGACACUUCAUUUUUGCUUCCCAUGUCUAGUACACUGACACAGUGGACACUCAAUACUUGGUUUGUUGAAAGUUAAGUAGACUAUAAGUUCUACUUAAAACCACGUAGCUAUUUAUUCGUAGCAAAAAACGUAUUUGUGUUAAAAGUUUGCUGGCUAACUAUAAGUCGAGUAUUUUUCUAGCUAUACAGACCUAGUCAAAGGAUGUGAUUGUUUGCUAACAUAAUUGUCAAGUAAUAUAUAUUAUCUGUGUAAUGCUCAUCUAAAUAUCAUUGCUCUUUCUGACCAGUCUGAACUUGUUGCCGGAGGGUUAAAAAUCAUGACUACUUCACGUGUAGCAGUUUUCACUUGCAUUCAAUGCUUUGUAAAAUAGAUUCCAACUAGUCAGUUUCUAUAAGGCGAACCCUUCAAAUAUACUCCUUGAAAAGAACAGUUCACCGGACAUUAUGAAGUUAGCACUAAUGUUUGUGGGGCAGGAAAAGCUGUUGUAGUGUGGAACAAUGAAUUAAGAAUCAGAAAGCCUGAUGUCGGGUUCUAGCUGUAGCAUAAAUGCACUUGACCUUGAUCGCUGCUCUCUAAUCUCUGGUCCUUAGUUUACUUUAGAAUGCGUGAGUUGGAGGAUCUCCAGUAUCUCUUCCAGGAUGAAAAAGUAAAGGAUUCUGGUGAGGCCUCAUGGUUGCAAAACAUGAGAGUGAAUAUACUUAGAUAUAUAGAGAAGUUCAUAGUGGAUAGAUAUACUUGGAUUUUUAAAUUCUAUUGCCUUACUCAAUGUCUUACCUUUUUCAUUCAAUAAAUAUUGAAUAUAUCUACUAUAUGGCAGGCACGAAUUUAGAUAUUUGGAUGUUUAAUAGGCCUCUUAAGUAUCAAACAACAUUCAGUUCAUACACACACAUACACACUACACAGCAUAUACACACGCUUAAAUCUGCUUGUCCUGUAGUCAUCACCAUUCCAAUAAAUGACAGCUCUUCUAAAUGCUCAGACCAAAAACCUUAGGAUAAUCCCUACUCCUCACUUUCUUUCACCCACCAAAUCCAAUCUUUAAGCAGGUCGUGCUGGCUCUACAUUCAAAAUAUGUCUAAUUACUUCCCAGCACCUCCACUGCUACGACUCUAAUUCAAGUUGCCAUCUUCUCUUGUCUAGAUUACAGUGGUACUCUUUUAAUGAGCUAUUCCACUUUGCUGCUUUACAGUCUCUUGUGUACAUGGCAACCAGAUGAUCUUUUGUGUAAGUCACAUCAGGUUACUCUCCUGCUCAGAAUCCUCAGAAGCAACUGGCUUCCCAACAUACUUCAAAGUCUUUUCCCUGGACUAUAGGGCUCUGGAUACUCGGCAACUUCUGCAAGUAUCUCAUUAACUAACACCUUCCCCAUCACUCUACCACACUGGCCUUCCUGAUUUUCUUCAAACAAGCCAAGCAUGUUUCUACUUUAGGAACUUUGCACUUGCUUUUCUGUCUAGGAUCUGGUUGUCAUUCACGUUAUCACAUGACUGACUCCCUCACUUCAUUCAGGUCUCUGCCCAAAUAGCACCUAAAUUCACUAUCCUCAUUAUGAUUCUCCAUAAAAUAGCAUCUGUGUCAUUCCCCAUCCUCUUAAUCCUGUUUCAUUUUUUCUCAGACACAUCUCUCUCUCUUUCUUUCCUUCCUUCCUUUUCUUUCUUUUUUUCUUCACUGCCUGUCUCUCACCAGUAGAGUGUGAACUGCAGGAGAACAGAGUUCACUGUUAUAUCUCCAGUGCUUAAAACAGUGCCUACAACAGUGCCUAGUACAUGCAUCCCUCCUCCAGAUGUGCCUCCCUUUGAUCUAUCAAACGGCCCCUUCUUCACUGUCUUGGUACAAUACAAUUUUACAAAGGAGUCC
rnacentral:lncRNA from 10 species